rnacentral:rRNA from 1 species
GAUGAACGCUGCCGGCGUGCCUAAUACAUGCAAGUCGAGCGAACAGAUGAGGAGCUUGCUCCUCUGACGUUAGCGGCGGACGGGUGAGUACCACGUGAAUAACCUACCUAAAAGACUGGGAUAACUUCGGGAAACCGGAGCUAAACCCGGAUAAUAUCUUAAACCGCAUGGUUCAAAAGUGAAAGACGGUUUUGCUGUCACUUAUAGAUGGAUCCGCGCCGCAUUAGCUAGUUGGUAAGGUAACGGCUUACCAAGGCAACGAUGCGUAGCCGACCUGAGAGGGUGAUCGGCCACACUGGAACUGAGACACGGUCCAGACUCCUACGGGAGGCAGCAGUAGGGAAGCUUCCGCAAUGGGCGAAAGCCUGACGGAGCAACGCCGCGUGAGUGAUGAAGGUCUUCGGAUCGUAAAACUCUGUUAUUAGGGAAGAACAAAUGUGUAAGUAACUAUGCACGUCUUGACGGUACCUAAUCAGAAAGCCACGGCUAACUACGUG